rnacentral:rRNA from 1 species
AGAGUUUGAUCCUGGCUCAGGACGAACGCUGGCGGCGUGCCUAACACAUGCAAGUCGAACGAGAAUCUUUGAACAGAUCUUUUCGGAGUGACGUUUAAAGAGGAAAGUGGCGGACGGGCGAGUAACGCGUGAGUAACCUGCCCAUAAGAGGGGGAUAAUCCAUGGAAACGUGGACUAAUACCGCAUAUUGUAGUCAAGUCGCAUGACUAGAUUAUGAAAGAUUUAUCGCUUAUGGAUGGACUCGCGUCAGAUUAGAUAGUUGGUGAGGUAACGGCUCACCAAGUCAACGAUCUGUAGCCGAACUGAGAGGUUGAUCGGCCGCAUUGGGACUGAGACACGGCCCAGACUCCUACGGGAGGCAGCAGUGGGGAAUAUUGCGCAAUGGGGGCAACCCUGACGCAGCAACGCCGCGUGCAGGAAGAAGGUCUUCGGAUUGUAAACUGUUGUCGCAAGGGAAGAAGACAGUGACGGUACCUUGUGAGAAAGUCACGGCUAACUACGUGCCAGCAGCCGCGGUAAUACGUAGGUGACAAGCGUUGUCCGGAUUUACUGGGUGUAAAGGGCGCGUAGGCGGACUGUCAAGUCAGUCGUGAAAUACCGGGGCUUAACCCCGGGGCUGCGAUUGAAACUGACAGCCUUGAGUAUCGGAGAGGAAAGCGGAAUUCCCGGUGUAGCGGUGGAAUGCGUAGAUAUCGGGAGGAACACCAGUGGCGAAGGCGGCCUACUGGGCACCAACUGACGCUGAGGCUCGAAAGUGUGGGUAGCAAACAGGAUUAGAUACCCUGGUAGUCCACACCGUAAACGAUGAUUACUAGGUGUUGGAGGAUUGACCCCUUCAGUGCCGCAGUUAACACAAUAAGUAAUCCACCUGGGGAGUACGACCGCAAGGUUGAAACUCAAAGGAAUUGACGGGGGCCCGCACAAGCAGUGGAGUAUGUGGUUUAAUUCGACGCAACGCGAAGAACCUUACCAAGUCUUGACAUCCUGCGACGAUGCUGGAAACAGUAUUUUCCUUCGGGACGCAGAGACAGGUGGUGCAUGGUUGUCGUCAGCUCGUGUCGUGAGAUGUUGGGUUAAGUCCCGCAACGAGCGCAACCCUUAUGGUCAGUUACUACGCAAGAGGACUCUGGCCAGACUGCCGUUGACAAAACGGAGGAAGGUGGGGAUGACGUCAAAUCAUCAUGCCCUUUAUGACUUGGGCUACACACGUACUGCAAUGGCGUUAAACAAAGAGAAGCAAGACCGCGAGGUGGAGCAAAACUCAGAAACAACGUCCCAGUUCGGACUGCAGGCUGCAACUCGCCUGCACGAAGUCGGAAUUGCUAGUAAUCGUGGAUCAGCAUGCCACGGUGAAUACGUUCCCGGGCCUUGUACACACCGCCCGUCACACCAUGAGAGCCGGGGGGACCCGAAGUCGGUAGUCUAACCGCAAGGAGGACGCCGCCGAAGGUAAAACUGGUGAUUGGGGUGAAGUCGUAACAAGGUA